rnacentral:lncRNA from 1 species
UGCCACCUAGUGUGCCACAGUGGGGCAGAGCACAGCACCCUCAGGUGAAGUGACAGACAGUUUUAUAACUCAACAGUAAAUCCUAGCACAGGGGAGGCUUCAUUUUCUCUUCUGAUUCGUUUUCUGUGUGUACAAGUUUUAUAUAUGGAAAAGUGUAUUUUGAAUUGUCUAGGGACUUGUGGGUAAAGUAAGUUAAACCACAGAAACUUGUCUUCUCCACAGGCUCAAAUGGACCACAGUCCUUCACAGUGGAACAGUGGGGCACCCCUGAUAAGCUGCCCAGAGCACAUACCUGCUUCAACCGCCUGGACCUGCCACCCUAUGAAUCCUUUGACGAACUCUGGGAUAAACUUCAGAUGGCGAUUGAGAACACGCAGGGCUUUGAUGGGGUUGAUUAGAUUACAAAAAACCAAGCUGUGGUGUCUUAUACACCAUAGUUCCUAAGCAAAAGCAAAAACAAAAUCACAUUUUAGCAUUUUCCAGAUAACUUCUAAAAGAUGGCCACUGGCUCUUCAAGAGUCCAGAGGACAGUUUGUUUAUCCAUGAUUUCAGCCACCACCACGCUGACUUGUUCCUUUGUCCAGUUGUUGGGGUUCAUGUGUACGGCAGGAUGUGAGUCCUGUGUGCCUGAGUUCUGACCGUAUUU